AUGGAACCCUAUGUUGGCAUGAGGUUUGACAGCCUUCAAAUUUCUAAGGAUCACUACAACAGCUACGCACUACGGAUGGGUUUCUCUAUCAAGAUGAACACCUCUAGACGGAGAGCCCGCACCAAUGAAUUGAUAAAACAACAGUUUUGCUGCAACAAGUUCAAGAAGCCCAAAGCUGAUGAUGGAGGAGCUGAGGCUCCUCCUGUCCUGGACCCUAUUCCAGAUCCAAAAUCUGUUAACAGUGAUGAGGAGAUGGAAGAAGAACCUCCAAUAUUUGCUAAAGAGGAGGCUGGUACUAGUAAGAAGAAGAAGAAGCGCAAACGCGAGACAAUAAAGCAGACUGAAUGCAAGGCGAAAAUGUUGGUGAAGCUGAUAGAUGGGCGAUGGGAGGUGACGCACUUUGUUCGUGAUCACAAUCAUCCGCUCGUGAACAAACCUUCAUUGUCCAAAUACUUGAGAUCCCACCAAGGCAUCUCACCUGAUGAAAAGGAGUCUCUGCGCAUCUUGUAUAACUGCAACUUGACUACAGGCGACUACAAUCCAAGUACCAUGACAGGCCGUGCUACUGAAGGUGAUCGUGCCGGUCCUACUGCCCCGUUGGAGGCUGCAUCCCUUGCACAAGCUUCUGAUGAUUUUGUGCCCAGGGAUCCUCCAAGGUCUACUACAAAGGGUAGGGCAAAGAGUCGACGGUACAAAUCGGCGCUGGAGCUACACCCAAAGAAGAAAAACAAAUGCAGCCAGUGCCAAUCUAUAGAGCACACUGCUGGUGUGUGUCCACUCAGGCUCCUAUGA
rnacentral:rRNA from 1 species